GCGACCCCAGGAUGGGCGAGGCCACCC
rnacentral:rRNA from 48 species